rnacentral:rRNA from 1 species
AUUGAACGCUGGCGGCAGGCCUAACACAUGCAAGUCGAGCGGAGCGGCGGACGGGUGAGUAAUGCCUAGGAAUCUGCAUGGUAGUGGGGGAUAACGUCCGGAACCGGGCGCUAAUACCGCAUACUAUCAGAUGAGCCUAGGUCGGAUUAGCUAGUUGGUGGGGUAAAGGCCUACCAAGGCGACGAUCCGUAACUGGUCUGAGAGGAUGAUCAGUCACACUGAAACUGGGAAAGGGUCCAGACUCCUACGGGAGGCAGCAUGGGGGAAUAUUGGACAAUGGGCGAAAGCCUGAUCCAGCCAUGCGGCGUGUGUGAAGAAGGUCUUCGGAUUGUAAAGCACUUUAAGUUGGGAGGCGUUACCAACAGAAUAAGCACCGGCUAACCGCGUGCCAGCCGCCGCGGUAAUU